rnacentral:rRNA from 1 species
CAGCCGCCGCGGGAAUACAGAGGGUGCAAGCGUUAAUCGGAAUUACUGGGCGUAAAGCGCGCGUAGGUGGUUUGUUAAGUUGGAUGUGAAAUCCCCGGGCUCAACCUGGGAACUGCAUCCAAAACUGGCAGGCUAGAGUAGGGCAGAGGGUGGUGGAAUUUCCUGUGUAGCGGUGAAAUGCGUAGAUAUAGGAAGGAACACCAGUGGCGAAGGCGACCACCUGGGCUCAUACUGACACUGAGGUGCGAAAGCGUGGGGAGCAAACAGGAUUAGAUACCCCAGUAGUCCCUGUCUCUUAUAC